AGCAGCCGCGGUAAUUCCAGCUCCAAUAGCGUAUAUUAAAGUUGUUGCAGUUAAAAAGCUCGUAGUUGAACUUCAGGCCUGGCUGGACGGUCCGCCUUCCGGGCGAGUACUGUCUGUGGUCGGGUCCUACCUUCUGGCGAAGCGUCAUGGCCUUAACCGGCCGUGGCGGGGAAACCAGGACUUUUACUGUGAAAAAAUUAGAGUGUUCAAAGCAGGCAAUUCGCUUGGAUACAUUAGCAUGGAAUAAUGGAAUAGGACAAUGGUUCUAUUUGUUGGUUUCUAGGACUGUUGUAAUGAUUAAUAGGGAUAGUUGGGGGCAUUAGUAUUCAAUUGUCAGAGGUGAAAUUCUUGGAUUUAUUGAAGACUAACUACUGCGAAAGCAUUUGCCAAGGAUGUUUUCAUUAAUCAAGAACGAAAGUUAGGGGAUCGAAGACGAUCAGAUACCGUCGUAGUCU
rnacentral:rRNA from 1 species